GGAGACACGAGACAGCAAUCAAUAUGUGUAAGAUGUACAUUGGUUCCAUCUGGAAAGGGGACAACUUGAGAUGAAGGCAGGACAACUCAAAGUGGGGAGGGGGCUUCCAGGUCAUAGAUCCACCCUGAUUUCAGCGGGCGCUCCUGGGUCUUGUAUGCACUAGGUGCUCUGAAUGCUUGGCAACUGGAAUCGGUUAGCCUGGAGGCAUUUAGACUGUCCUUCUACAACCACAGAAGAGCCAUCACUGGCAGAGAGAUCCUUGGCGCAGUUAAGCAGAGAUCUUCUCAGAAGAGCUUUUGAACAAAUGAAGUUGUUUCGAAUGGCCUUGUUAAAAUGACUCACUUGUCAAAACAAUUGGAUGUGUUGGAAGGCUGGGUUGGAAGACAAGAUGUCUGAGAAGCUGUCCUGCUGCAUGAGGAGUUUCACUGCUACACACCUAAUCUCCGGGUCCUGUGUUUUUGGCCUCCAGCUUACUUCGUGAACAUAAUAAAGGAAAGGCAUUUUCUCUUGUGC